UACAGAGGGUGCGAGCGUUAAUCGGAAUUACUGGGCGUAAAGCGCACGUAGGCGGCUUUGCAAGUCAGGUGUGAAAUCCCCAGGCUUAACCUGGGAACUGCGUCGGAUACUGGAUGGCUUGAAUCCGGGAGAGGGAUGCAGAAUUCCAGGUGUAGCGGUGAAAUGCGUAGAUAUCUGGAGGAAUACCGGUGGCGAAGGCGGCAUCCUGGACCGGCAUUGACGCUGAAGCGCGAAAGCUAGGGGAGCAAACGGG
rnacentral:rRNA from 1 species